AGGGAAUCUUCCACAAUGGACGAAAGUCUGAUGGAGCAACGCCGCGUGAGUGAUGAAGGUUUUCGGAUCGUAAAACUCUGUUGUAAGGGAAGAACCAGUACGUCAGGCAAUGGACGUACCUUGACGGUACCUUAUUAGAAAGCCACGGCUAACUACGUGCCAGCAGCCGCGGUAAUACGUAGGUGGCAAGCGUUGUCCGGAAUUAUUGGGCGUAAAGCGCGCGCAGGUGGUUUCUUAAGUCUGAUGUGAAAGCCCAAGGCUUAACCGUGGAGGGUCAUUUGAAACUGAAAGACUUGAGUAUUGGAGAGGCAAGUGGAAUUCCUAGUGUAGCGGUGAAAUGCGUAGAUAUUAGGAGGAACACCGGUGGCGAGGGCGGCUUGCUGGACAAAUACUGACGCUGAGGUGCGAAAGCGUGGGGAGCAAACA
rnacentral:rRNA from 1 species